rnacentral:other from 1 species
ACACCCCUGCUGUGUUCGUGAUGCGCGUCAAGUUUUGAGCCAACACACGUAAAGAGGGAGCCGGAGUCCUUUCGGCGCUGUAGUAGCCCGCACGGGCGAGGCAAUAACCGAUAGGCAAGGCAACCCACCUGCGAGAGCAGGUUCAAAACUCGAGCACACGGCAUGGCGGGGGUGUC